UGGCGGCUGCUUUACACAUGCAAGUCUGAACUGUAACAGGGAGCUUGCUCCGCUGACGAGUGGCGAACGGGUGAGUAAUAUAUCGGAACGUACCCAAGAGUGGGGGAUAACGUAGCGAAAGUUACGCUAAUACCGCAUACGAUCCAAGGAUGAAAGCAGGGGACCGCAAGGCCUUGUGCUCCUGGAGCGGCCGAUAUCUGAUUAGCUAGUUGGUAGGGUAAAGGCCUACCAAGGCAUCGAUCAGUAGCUGGUCUGAGAGGACGACCAGCCACACUGGAACUGAGACACGGUCCAGACUCCUACGGGAGGCAGCAGUGGGGAAUUUUGGACAAUGGGCGCAAGCCUGAUCCAGCAAUGCCGCGUGAGUGAAGAAGGCCUUCGGGUUGUAAAGCUCUUUUGUCAGGGAAGAAACGGGUGCGGCUAAUAUCUGCAUCUAAUGACGGUACCUGAAGAAUAAGCACCGGCUAACUACGUGCCAGCAGCCGCGGUAAUACGUAGGGUGCAAGCGUUAAUCGGAAUUACUGGGCGUAAAGCGUGCGCAGGCGGUUUUGUAAGUCUGUUGUGAAAUCCCCGGGCUUAACCUGGGAAUGGCAAUGGAGACUGCAAGGCUAGAGUUUGGCAGAGGGGGGUAGAAUUCCACGUGUAGCAGUGAAAUGCGUAGAGAUGUGGAGGAACACCGAUGGCGAAGGCAGCCCCCUGGGUCAAGACUGACGCUCAUGCACGAAAGCGUGGGGAGCAAACAGGAUUAGAUACCCUGGUAGUCCACGCCCUAAACGAUGUCUACUAGUUGUCGGGUCUUAAUUGACUUGGUAACGCAGCUAACGCGUGAAGUAGACCGCCUGGGGAGUACGGUCGCAAGAUUAAAACUCAAAGGAAUUGACGGGGACCCGCACAAGCGGUGGAUGAUGUGGAUUAAUUCGAUGCAACGCGAAAAACCUUACCUACCCUUGACAUGUACGGAAG
rnacentral:rRNA from 1 species